rnacentral:rRNA from 1 species
UAACGAAUCUUGGGCAAUGGGCGCAAGCCUGACCCAGCCAUGCCGCGUGAAGGAAGACGGCCCUACGGGUUGUAAACUUCUUUUGUACGGGAAAAAACCACCGGUCGAGCAUCGGUGCUGAUGGUACCGUAAGAAUAAGCAUCGGCUAACUCCGUGCCAGCAGCCGCGGUAAUACGGAGGAUGCAAGCGUUAUCCGGAUUCAUUGGGUUUAAAGGGUGCGCAGGCGGAAUGAUAAGUCAGUGGUGAAAUCCUACGGCUCAACUGUAGAACUGCCAUUGAUACUGUUGUUCUUGAGUAAAGUUGGAGUGGGCGGAAUGUGUUGUGUAGCGGUGAAAUGCUUAGAUAUAACACAGAACACCGAUCGCGAAGGCAGCUCACUAAGCUUUAACUGACGCUCAUGCACGAAAGCGUGGGGAUCAAACA